UUCCGGUUGAUCCUGCCGGACCCGACUGCUAUCAGAAUAGGACUAAGCCAUGCGAGUUAACGUAGCAAUACGUGGCAUACGGCUCAGUAACACGUAGUCAACAUGCCCAGGGGACGUGGAUAACCUCGGGAAACUGAGGAUAAACCGCGAUAGGUCAUAAUAUCUGGAAUGAUUUAUGGCUCAAAUCUACAUGGCCCCUGGAUUGGACUGCGGCCGAUCAGGCUGUUGGUGAGGUAAUGGCCCACCAAACCUAAAACCGGUACGGGCUCUGAGAGGAGAAGCCCGGAGAUGGGCACUGAGACAAGGGCCCAGGCCCUACGAGGCGCAGCAGGCGCGGAACCUCCGCAAUACACGAAAGUGUGACGGGGUUACCCAAAGUGUUCAAUUUUGAACUGUGGUAGGUGAGUAAUGUUCCCUACUAGAAAGGAGAAGGCAAGGCUGGUGCCAGCCGCCGCGGUAAAACCAGCUCUUCAAGUGGUCGGGAUAAUUAUUGGGCUUAAAGUGUCCGUAGCCGGUUUAGUAAGUUCCUGGUAAAAUCGGGUAGCUUAACUAUCUGCAUGCUAGGAAUACUGCUAUACUAGAGGACGGGAGAGGUCUGAGGUACUACAGGGGUAGGGGUGAAAUCUUAUAAUCCUUGUAGGACCACCAGUGGCGAAGGCGUCAGACUGGAACGUGCCUGACGGUGAGGGACGAAAGCCAGGGGAGCGAACCGGAUUAGAUACCCGGGUAGUCCUGGGCCGUAAACGAUGCAUACUAGGUGAUGGCAUGGCCAUGAGCCGUGUCAGUGCUGUAGGGAAACCGUUAAGUGUGCCGCCUGGGAAGUACGGUCGCAAGGCUAAAACUUAAAGGAAUUGGCGGGGGAGCACACAAGGGGUGAAGCCUGCGGUUCAAUUGGACUCAACGCCGGU
rnacentral:rRNA from 1 species